ACGGAGGGUGCAAGCGUUAUCCGGAUUCACUGGGUUUAAAGGGUGCGUAGGCGGUUGGAUAAGCCCUCCGUGAAAUCUCCAGGCUUAACCUGGAAAGUGCAGAGGGGACUGUUCAGCUAGAGGAUGGGAGAGGAGCGCGGAAUUCCCGGUGUAGCGGUGAAAUGCGUAGAGAUCGGGAGGAAGGCCGGUGGCGAAGGCGGCGCUCUGGAACAUUUCUGACGCUGAGGCUCGAAAGCGUGGGGAGCAAACAGGA
rnacentral:rRNA from 1 species